rnacentral:rRNA from 1 species
CGUGUCGCGCAUAUCUGCAUAUCAAUAAGCGGAGGAAAAGAAACUAACAAGGAUUCCCUUAGUAACGGCGAGUGAAGCGGGAAGAGCUCAAAUUUGAAAUCUUCAAGGUUCUACCUUGACGAAUUGUAGUUUAAAGAAGUGUUUUCUGUUAGAUGAGUAGCAAAAGUUCCUGGAAUGGGACAUCAUAGAGGGUGAGAAUCCCGUAUUUGGUUAUUCAUUCUAGCUUUGUGAUACACUUUCAAAGAGUCGGAUUGUUUGGGAAUGCAGUCCAAAAUGGGUGGUAAAUUUCAUCUAAAGCUAAAUAUUGGCGAGAGACCGAUAGCGAACAAGUACCGUGAGGGAAAGAUGAAAAGAACUUUGAAAAGAGAGUUAAACAGUACGUGAAAUUGUCAAAAGGGAAGCGUUUGACACCAGUGUUGUUUUUCCGAAAAUCAAUUACGAAUGGCUUGAUUUUGUGUUGUAUUGACCUUAUCAGCUUUCUGCACUUUUUUCGAGUCUUUCUUAAUGCACUUUUCGGUUAACAAGUCAACAUCAAUUUCUUUUGCUGUAAAAGAGUAUUCGGAAGGUGGCUUUCUUUUCGGAGAAAGUGUUUAUAGCCCUAUACUUCUACAAUCGGAGAGAUUGAGGUCUGCAGCGUAGAUCCUUCGGGGUUAGAUACAUUUGUGCUAAGUUGUAGCUUUUCAUAGACAACUUGUUGACUAUGUUUAGUCAUGCGGCUUACUCGCUUAUGCUAUUUUACCUACGCUUAGGAUGUUGACGAUCAGCUGAGCGCG